CAGUCGCCGCGGUAAUACAGAGGGUGCGAGCGUUAAUCGGAUUUACUGCGCGUAAAGCGUGCGUAGGCGGCUUCUUAAGUCGGAUGUGAAAUCCCUGAGCUUAACUUAGGAAUUGCAUUCGAUACUGGGAAGCUAGAGUAUGGGAGAGGAUGGUAGAAUUCCAGGUGUAGCGGUGAAAUGCGUAGAGAUCUGGAGGAAUACCGAUGGCGAAGGCAGCCAUCUGGCCUAAUACUGACGCUGAGGUACGAAAGCAUGGGGAGCAAACAGGAUUAGAUACCCGUGUAGUCCCUGUCUCUUAUAC
rnacentral:rRNA from 1 species